rnacentral:lncRNA from 1 species
AUUGACAACACUAUAGGUUUGAAAAGGAAAGUUUUAUUAGAUAGAAAGAACACUGCAGAAGACCGCAGCAGAGGACUUCAGCAAGAGAGAACUAAGUGUAUCAUGGUGGAUUUUUCCUAAGGGUUUGUCAGUUUCAAAUACUCAUGUAUCUGAUUGUCAAUGCUGGAGAGCUGGGGCCAGGGCAGUAGUUGAUGGAUAUCACCUGACUGUCUCCUGCAGCAAAAGCAUUCCCAGAAGCACGGAGAAGUGAGGAGAAAAGGCAAUGCACCUGGAGCUGGAGACCAAGACCCCGUUCUUACUGAUGGCCCUUGGAGCAGAUAUUUGAAUUGGAGAGAUAAAACCGUGGUUUUUGGGGUGUUAAUUUUGGUGGCUGAUGCAUUCUGUGAUUGAUUUGGCUAUUACAACUGGUAUUGAUUUUAAACACAUUAAUUGCAAAAUCUCAAUUGUGAUUUGAUUUCUGUAUUUACAAUACUAAAAACGAGGCUUUCGCCAGGAGAAGACAAUUGGCAGUACUCAGUUGGAAGUGCUUAAUUGUUAAUAUAUAUCAGCCGUGGUUCUUCAGCGUCGUCAGUGUUGCUCAGUCUUGCUCUUUGUGGCGACUACUGAAUGCUUGAAAAAUUCUCUCCUAUACUCCCACUCUGCGCUGUAGAAGAGAAAGAGAGGAGAGUGGAAGAAAAAAGAGAGGGAGAGGAGAAAGAAAGAAAGGAGAGAGAAACAUGGGCAUGGAUGAUACAUAAGGUAGUUGUAAACUGUGAUCAGCUUUGAUAAUAACUAGAUAAAUUCUUUUAAUACAAAAAUAUAUAAGGCAUUUUGCCUUUUUUUCAAAUUUCAAAUAAAUGGAUUUGUAUAGAAUGUAGUCUGUUGCCCAGAGUUUUCAUUUAGCAUAAUGCAUUUGAGAUUUAUCCAUGUUGCUGUAUAUUCUUUUUAUUGCUGAGUAGUAUUCCAUUGUGUGGAUAUACCAGUUUGUUUAUCCAUUAACCUUUGAUGGAUAUUUGGGUUUUUU